rnacentral:rRNA from 1 species
GAUGAACGCUGGCGGCGUGCCUAAUACAUGCAAGUCGAGCGAACAGACGAGGAGCUUGCUCCUCUGACGUUAGCGGCGGACGGGUGAGUAACACGUGGAUAACCUACCUAUAAGACUGGGAUAACUUCGGGAAACCGGAGCUAAUACCGGAUAAUAUAUUGAACCGCAUGGUUCAAUAGUGAAAGACGGUUUUGCUGUCACUUAUAGAUGGAUCCGCGCCGCAUUAGCUAGUUGGUAAGGUAACGGCUUACCAAGGCAACGAUGCGUAGCCGACCUGAGAGGGCGAUCGGCCACACUGAACUGAGACACGGUCCAGACUCCUACGGGAGGCAGCAGUAGGGAAUCUUCCGCAAUGGGCGAAAGCCUGACGGAGCAACGCCGCGUGAGUGAUGAAGGUCUUCGGAUCGUAAAACUCUGUUAUUAGGGAAGAACAAAUGUGUAAGUAACUAUGCACGUCUUGACGGUACCUAAUCAGAAAGCCACGGCUAACUACGUG